UACACUCCUACGGGAGGCAGCAGUGGGGAAUAUUGGACAAUGGGCGCAAGCCUGAUCCAGCCAUGCCGCGUGAGUGAUGAAGGCCCUAGGGUUGUAAAGCUCUUUCACCGGAGAAGAUAAUGACGGUAUCCGGAGAAGAAGCCCCGGCUAACUUCGUGCCAGCAGCCGCGGUAAUACGAAGGGGGCUAGCGUUGUUCGGAAUUACUGGGCGUAAAGCGCACGUAGGCGGAUCGAUCAGUCAGGGGUGAAAUCCCAGGGCUCAACCCUGGAACUGCCUUUGAUACUGUCGAUCUGGAGUAUGGAAGAGGUGAGUGGAAUUCCGAGUGUAGAGGUGAAAUUCGUAGAUAUUCGGAGGAACACCAGUGGCGAAGGCGGCUCACUGGUCCAUUACUGACGCUGAGGUGCGAAAGCGUGGGGAGCAAACAGGAUUAGAAACCCGGUAGUCC
rnacentral:rRNA from 1 species